rnacentral:rRNA from 1 species
GCUUAUGGCCAUAUCAGGUUGAAAGCACCGGUUCUCAUCCGAUCACCGAAGUUAAGCAACGUCGAGCCUAGUUAGUACUUAGAUGGGUGACCGCUUGGAAAACCUAGGUGCUGUAAGGG